rnacentral:lncRNA from 1 species
GACUGCAAACUAACUGUACAGGGUAUGUGCAGCAGUUUGAGGCUGUGAGCUUUUUUUUUUUCGUUUUUCACAUGUUUUCUCCUUCUCUUUCACAGUCACACACUACGACCAUUAUAAGGUCUUGUCUCGAUGCAUUACAAAAACUGCAUUAAGGCUGGCCACUGAAGGGCCUCAGGUUUCCAAACUUGAGCAAAGAAAUAUUAGACUUAACUUAUCCCAAUUCAACAUUGUAUUUCCUCCUUUCAUCUUUCUUCCCCCAACUUCUUAGGACCUAGAUUCUCUGAAAGCAAUUAUGUUUCCCUUUUCCACCUAUGCAAAGAAGAAAUUUAUCUCACCAUUUUCUCCUUAGGCUAAAAUCAAGAGGAUCAAAUCAAAUAUUUAUUGAAACCUUAGUAUCUGCUUAAUGCCUGGAGCAUGGAAGGAGUCCUGCCUUCUAA